CAAUAGCGUAUAUUAAAGUUGUUGCAGUUAAAACGCUCGUAGUCGGACUUUGGCAGUUCCGGAUGUGUGCACGUCGUGUGCGCACUUCGCGGGGAUUGCUUUUGUGGUCUUGCGUAGGAUGAGGCACUUUUAUUAGUGAACGUCCUCACGCAACCACUUUUUACUGUGAGAAAAUCAGAGUGCUCAAAGCAGGCAUUUGCCGUGAAUGUAUUAGCAUGGAAUAAUAGAAUAGGACUUGGUUCUAUUUUGUUGGUUUGUUGGGACUGAGUAAUGAUUAAGAGGGACAGUUGGGGGCAUUUGUAUUUCGGUGCUAGAGGUGAAAUUCUUAGAUUACCGAAAGACAAACUGCUGCGAAAGCGUCUGCCAAGGAUGUUUUCAUUGA
rnacentral:rRNA from 1 species